rnacentral:tRNA from 4 species
UGGUCUAUGGUGUAAUUGGCAGCACGACUGGUUCUGGUCCAGUUAGUCUAGGUUCGAGUCCUAGUAGACCAGCCA